rnacentral:rRNA from 1 species
GACGAACGCUGGCGGCGUGCUUAACACAUGCAAGUCGAGCGGUAAGGCCCUUUCGGGGGUACGACGAGCGGCGAACGGGUGAGUAACACGUGGGUGACCUGCCUCAGCUCUGGGAUAAGCCUGGGAAACCGGGUCUAAUACUGGAUAUGACUCCAUGACGCAUGUUGUGGGGUGGAAAGCCUUGUGCGGCUGAGGAUGGGCCCGCGGCCUAUCAGCUUGUUGGUGGGGUGAUGGCCUACCAAGGCGACGACGGGUAGCCGGCCUGAGAGGGCGACCGGCCACACUGGGACUGAGACACGGCCCAGACUCCUACGGGAGGCAGCAGUGGGGAAUCUUGCGCAAUGGACGAAAGCCUGACGCAGCGACGCCGCGUGAGGGAUGACGGCCU